UUUUUUUGGUCGGACGUGUUGGGUAAUCUAUUUAGUAUAAAAGAUUAGUCACUCAAGAUUACUUACGCCAGCACCACACAAAGUAAAAACAAUGGAGCACAUGAAGGUAAGAGGGAACGGCAUAGAUAUCCACGUAGCAAUCCAAGGUCCCUCCGAUGGUCCUAAAGUCCUUCUCCUCCAUGGCUUUCCUGAGCUUUGGUACUCAUGGCGCCACCAGAUCCCCGGACUCGCUGCUCGUGGCUACCGCGCUGUUGCUCCUGAGUCCUGACCUACGUGGUUACGGUGAUUCCGAUGCUCCCGCUGAGAUCUCUUCCUACACAUGCUUCAACAUCGUAGGUGACUUAGUCGCCGUCAUAUCCGCCUUGACCGAGGAUAAGGAGAAGGUGUUUGUGGUUGGACAUGACUGGGGUGCUCUCAUCGCUUGGUACCUUUGUCUCUUCCGACCAGAUAAGGUUAAAGCUUUGAUCAACCUUAGUGUCCCGUUCUUGCGUCCAACCGAUCCAUCCACGAAGCCCGUUGAACGCCUGCGUGCUUUCUACGGCGAUGAUUACUAUGUCUGCAGGUUUCAGGAAGUUGGAGUUAUAGAAGCUGAGAUUGCAGAGGUUGGAACAGAGAGAGUCAUGAAGAGACUACUCACUUAUAGAACUCCUGGACCGGUUAUUAUACCGAAGGACAAAAGUUUUUGGGGAUCCAAAGGCGAAACUAUACCUCUACCUUCUUGGCUAACUGAGGAAGAUGUUGCUUACUUCGUCAGCAAGUUUGAAGAGAAAGGCUUCUCUGGUCCAGUCAAUUACUACCGUAACUUUAAUCGGAACAAUGAGUUGUUGGGUCCAUGGGUGCGAUGCAAAAUCCAGGUUCCUACAAAGUUUGUGAUAGGUGAGCUUGAUUUGGUCUACGCUAUGCCUGGUGUCAAAGAAUAUAUACAUGGUCCCAAGUUUAAGGAAGAUGUGCCUUUUCUUGAAGAGCCUGUGGUCAUGGAAGGAGUGGCUCACUUCAUUAACCAAGAGAAGCCUCAAGAGAUUCUCCAAAUUAUCCUUGAUUUCAUCUCCAAAUUCUAAUCUUGAUUUCCCUUAAAACGCUCUUGUAAGCUCUAUAAUAAGUUGAAUUAUGAGGAUACAUCCUCAUGUAUGGUUAUAACCUCCUAUAUAAUAUAUGUAUUAAUAAUACUAAAGUUGGAUGCGUGCAUAUCAUCUGACAUUCUUCUAAGUUAUAUAAUAAGGAAAAAUAUAUAUAUAUAAUAA